CCAUAUUUAGUUUUUAUAUAUCUAUUUAUUUUCUUUAUUUACUUUUGGCUUGAAUAUGCCCAUGUCAUUUGGAGAAGGCGUUGCUAUCUGAUCAGAUAAAAUUUUCUUGUUACCUCCGAUUCAAGAUUUAUGUAUAGAUAAAUACAGAGGGAGAUCUGAUAAGUUACUUUACUAUAUCAGAUGAGGCUUAAUGAAAACCAAAAUAUUAAAUGUAUAAAAACGUAUACAUGGGCGCCUUCGUUGAUGAUAAACU